rnacentral:misc_RNA from 1 species
UCUGGGCCACAGUUGCAGAACUGGUUCAGACUACGGGAUGCAGUGUAGCCCCUUCCCCCUGUUGUUAGUCUUGAUGGAUUGGCUGUUUGAGGUGGUCUCUUUCCUAGAUCUGGGACAUGUUUGGAGUCUUCUUUGCUAACCACCCUGAUCUAAGAAGGAUCCUGACAGAUUAUGGCUUCGAGGGACAUCCUUUCCGGAAAGACUUUCCUCUAUCUGGCUAUGUUGAGUUACGUUAUGAUGAUGAAGUGAAGCGGGUGGUGGCAGAGCCG